rnacentral:lncRNA from 1 species
AUUUGUAUGAAUAAUUCCCUCUUUAAACUUAAGUUUUGAGGAAAAGAUGGUGGUAGGAGAGUGCUAACUAUCUUUUGAUUGUAUGAGUUGCUUAUUUGUAGAGUUAACUUAGGGUAAGAGAUUGAAUUGAACAUGACUAAAUUCAAGUAUAAUAGUCGCUCCUUUACUAGAUAUUAUGAGUAUUUAGUGGAAUUUGAAUAAUUGCAUAAUAGUUGAUUUCUGAGUUAUGGGAUUUGCAUUUGAAAAAAUAUAUUAUUUGACUAGGCACUUGGAUCAUUGGUUGUGUAAUUGUUGAUAUUGUUUGAGAACAAAUAAUGAUUCAAGUAUGGGGGAGUUAAUAAUGGCUAAAUUUGUGAUAUUUUUAAAAGUGUUUAUGGUAUUUUUCAGUCAAUUGGUAAGGUUAAAUGAUAUAAGUUGUCC